GCACGUAUGGCCGAGUGGUCCAAGGCGGUUGACUUAAGCUCAACUAACCGAAAGGUUGCGUGAGUUCGAACCUCACUGCGUGCA